rnacentral:sRNA from 1 species
ACCCAGGCUGGAGUGCAGUGGCGCAAUCUUAGUUCACUGCAACCUCCACCUCCCGGGUUCAAGCGAUUCUCCUGCCUCCACCUCCCGAGUAGCUGGGACUACAGGCGUGUGCCACCACGCCUGGCUAAUUUUUUCUAUUUUUAGUAGAGAUGCGGUUUCACUGUGUUAGCCAGUAUGGUCUCGAUCUCCUGACCUCGUGAUCUGCCUGCCUUGGCCUCCCAAAGUACUGGGAUUAAAAGAAAUUGUUUUUAAUUCGCUGAGGGUGGUGUUGCACGCCUGUAGUCCCAGAUACUCAAAAGGCUGAGGUGGGAGGAUCACUUGAACCCAGAAGGUCAAGGCUAUAGUGAGCCAUGAUCAUACUACUGCACUUCAGCAUGGGCGACAGUGCGAGACCCUGUCACGAAAAAAAAAAAAGUUCCUUUUUCUUUAAAAUUAAUAGACUAUUCUUAGAGCAGUUUUAGGUUUACAGAAAAACUGAGCACAAAGCACAGAGUUCCCGUAUACUCCCUGUCUCCACACCCAGAAUGUCCCUUAUUAUAAACGUCUUGUAUAUGGUGUGGUCCUCUUUAGUCUCUCUUCAUCUGUAGCAGUGCCCAUGGUUUUUUUUUUUUUUUUUUUUUUUUUUUAAACGUCAUUUAUUUGUUGAAGAAACUGGGUCAUUUGUUGUAUAGAAUGUUCCACAUUCUGGAUUUGUCCUUGUGCUAGUGUUUAAUACACCCCUCCAUCUCCUAUAUUUCUUGUGUAUUGGUGGUUAGAUUUAGAAACCUGAUGAGAUUCAUGUCCCACAUUUUUGGCAAGAAAAAUUCCCAGGCGGCUCUUUGAAUUUCUUCUUGCGUCACAUCAGGCACCUGGUGCCUGGUGCCCCAGUUUUAGUGAUGCGAAGAUUGAUUAGCGGUCUGCAGCACUCCUAACAACCUUUCUUGACCGCAUCCUGGGAUCACUGCCCUGGAAACAUCCUCUCCCUUUUCUUAGCCCCUGCUUUCUUCCCUAGCCUGCCUGGCUUCUACGCUCCCAAGCCCAUCUUCUAGGCACCCAGAUUGAGGCUCCAUGGCAAGCAGCAGGGACAGGGGCAGCAGAUAGCCUGAACCCAGGAAAGAGAUGUGUGUGACCCUUGCAUGUCUCCAGGUUACAUCCACUACCAGCCUGCCCAGGACCGGCUGCAACCCCACCUCCUGGAGAUGCUGAUUCAGCUGCCGGCCAACUCAGUCACCAAGGUUUCCAUCCAGUUUGAGCGGGCGCUGCUGAAGUGGACCGAGUACACGCCAGAUCCUAACCAUGGCUUCUAUGUCAGCCCAUCUGUCCUCAGCGCCCUUGUGCCCAGCAUGGUAGCAGCCAAGCCAGUGGACUGGGAAGAGAGUCCCCUCUUCAACAGCCUGUUCCCAGUCUCUGAUGGCUCUAACUACUUCGUGCGGCUCUACACAGAGCCGCUGCUGGUGAACCUGCCGACACCGGACUUCAGCAUGCCCUACAACGUGAUCUGCCUCACGUGCACGGUGGUGGCCGUGUGCUACGGCUCCUUCUACAAUCUCCUCACCCGAACCUUCCACAUCGAGGAGCCCCGCACAGGUGGCCUGGCCAAGCGGCUGGCCAACCUUAUCCGGCGCGCCCGAGGUGUCCCCCUACUCUGAUUAUUGCCCUUUCCAGCAGCUGUAGCUGCUGUUCUCUCUGGGGAGGAGAGCACAAGGGCUCUUUCUGCCACUUGCUCUCCUCAGAAUUGGCUUUUGGAACCAAAGUGCCCUGGACCAGGUCAGGGCCUACAGCUGUGCAUCCAGUACAGGAGCCAUGAGCCAAAUAUGGCAUUUGAAUUUGAAUUAACUUAAAAAUUCAUUUCCUCACCUGUAGUGGCCACCUCUAUAUUGAGGUGCUCAAUAAGCAAAAGUGGUCAGUGGCUGCUGUAUUGGAAAGAACAGAAAAAGACUUCCAUCACUGCAGAAAGGUCGGUUGGCAGCACCGGCCAAGGUGAUGGGGUGUGCUGCAGAGUGUGUGUCACCGUGUGGUGGAUGGAGUUUACUGUUUGU